UACGAAGGGGGCUAGCGUUGUUCGGAAUUACUGGGCGUAAAGCGCGCGCAGGCGGUUCUUUAAGUCAGGGGUGAAAGCCCAGAGCUCAACCCUGGAACUGCCCUUGAAACUAGAGAACUCGGGUACGGGAGAGGUGAGUGGAAUUCCGAGUGUAGAGGUGAAAUUCGUAGAUAUUCGGAAGAACACCAGUGGCGAAGGCGGCUCACUGGCCCGUUACCGACGCUCAGGCGCGACAGCGUGGGGAGCAAACAGG
rnacentral:rRNA from 1 species